rnacentral:rRNA from 1 species
GAUGAACGCUAGCGGCAGGCCUAAUACAUGCAAGUCGGACGGGAUUCAGGAGCUUGCUUCUGAUGAGAGUGGCGCACGGGUGCGUAACACGUAUGUAACCUACCUUUAUCAGGGGGAUAGCCUCUCGAAAGAGAGAUUAAGCCCGCAUAAAAUCACAGCACAGCAUUGUGUAAUGAUCAAAUAUUUAUAGGAUAAAGAUGGGCAUGCGGAACAUUAGCUAGAUGGCGGGGUAACGGCCCACCAUGGCGACGAUGUUUAGGGGAUCUGAGAGGAUGGCCCCCCACACUGGUACUGAGACACGGACCAGACUCCUACGGGAGGCAGCAGUAAGGAAUAGUGGUCAAGGGGCGGAAGCCUGAACCAGCCAUGCCGCGUGCAGGAAGACGGCCCUACGGGUUGUAAACUGCUUUUAUACGGGAAUAAACCCAGAUACGUGUAUCUGGCUGAAGGUACUGUAAGAAUAAGGAUCGGCUAACUCCGUG